rnacentral:rRNA from 1 species
GAUGAACGCUGGCGGCGUGCCUAAUACAUGCAAGUCGAGCGAACGGACGAGAAGCUUGCUUCUCUGAUGUUAGCGGCGGACGGGUGAGUAACACGUGGAUAACCUACCUAUAAGACUGGGAUAACUUCGGGAAACCGGAGCUAAUACCGGAUGAUAUUUUGAACCGCAUGGUUCAAAAGUGAAAGACGGUCUUGCUGUCACUUAUAUAUGGAUCCGCGCUGCAUUAGCUAGUUGGUAAGGUAACGGCUUACCAAGGCAACGAUGCAUAGCCGACCUGAGAGCGUGAUCGGCCACACUGGAACUGAGACACGGUCCAGACUCCUACGGGAGGCAGCAGUAGGGAAUCUUCCGCAAUGGGCGAAAGCCUGACGGAGCAACGCCGCGUGAGUGAUGAAGGUCUUCGGAUCGUAAAACUCUGUUAUUAGGGAAGAACAUAUGUGUAAGUAACUGUGCACAUCUUGACGGUACCUAAUCAGAAAGCCACGGCUAACUACGUG